UAAAAUUUAAAUACAAUUCAAAGAGCUGACUUCUACUAAAAGGAUACUAUUAGCAUAUAAAUACAACAGAAUAAUUUUGGAAUAGUACACAUAUCCAGAGUAUGACAUGGUAAUGAAUUUACUCAUAAUUAUAAAACCCAUGAACUCUACUGAGUGGACAGUACAGGUUGUUAUUGAAACUGUCUUACAGUUGUGUAAGAAACACGCUUUUGUGCUGAUGAAAAUAAAUUACUUUACCAUCAUUCUGCUUUGUUUGUCAACUUAAUUAUUACACAGUUAAAAUAUUACUCUGCAUUAGUCAGAACAGAGUACAUUCCUGUUAUAUAGUUUCCUUUUCCCAGGGGUAAAUUUUAAUGCCCUGAAAGGUCAACAGAGGUCAGGACUUCUUGGUCAUAUCUCAACAGUGCAUUUCGGGUCAUCAAAAGAAAUAAGCCUCUGACCACUGGUAGCUGCUGUAGGGGUUUCUUUUAUCCUGCACCUGUGACAAUUACCCUGUGUUAGUGAAGCUAACAGGAGUCAGGUUGUAGGUUAAGGGUCAGGGCACUGUCAAGAGGAAGUUAUUCUUCAGUCCACUAAAUCUGUUAUCAUUUUCAUCUAAUGUGACAUCCAUCUGUCAAUCAGGGAAUUUAGGCAAUUGUCUUAUUCUAAGUGCUGCACUUUAUGCCUCAACCAGCUCACAUUUUACUGCUUUUCAUAUAAUUGCGUUUUUCUACCCCUGAAAACCCAUCUACAAAAUAAACAGGGAAAGUCUUACUCAAUCAUUUUGACGAUCCAGGCUUUUUAUGAUAAAAGAUGUUUCACUUACAAAAUUGAGUGAUUUCCUGCAAAGUUUUAUAUUCAUUUAAUUUUCACUGGUAUGGCUUUUUAAUAUGUUAAAAGAGAAUAAAAAUUCUCUAACUACAUGGAUAUCAAAAUAAGUCUUUAUGUUAAACUGCCAAAUGCAUACCAGCCAAAAGGGGUAUGCAUCCUACCCUUUAAAUGCUGUAUGUGGACAAGUUUUUACAAUGAACUUUUGAGGAAUUAAAAGCUAGCAUGUAGUUGAAUUGACUAUAAAUGAGCAAAGACUUUGAGCAACUCCAUGUAUAGCACCAUGGAAUGGGGUUUGAAACUCUGCUAAUUCUAAUUCAUCAUUUCUCUUAAGGAUGUGCCUAAUUUCAAUCAUGUGAACAAUCCCAGUCUAGUUACCAAAACACUAUGUAAAUGGGAAGGUACAUAAAGGCAUAGGUGUAAAGGUAAAAGGUCCACUGUGAUAUUGCUCAUGUAUUUCAGUUUAGGCUUAUUUUUAAUUGCUUUGAUGAAAAGGAAUCUAAAUACCUUGCCAAGCACAAAAACCAUGGUGUGGAUGCAGUUGAGCCAAUCUAACAGCUUGUUACCGCUGAAAUGAAAAGGAUGGUCCUGUUCCCCUUAUUUCCUCCCCCUGCCUUCCCACCCUAGAUUAGUUUUCUGCUGGGUUAGCAAAUUUAAUUGCCUCAGAAAGUGUUUAGACAAGCGUGCAAGCCAAUAGGGACAGUGACAAGAGUAUGUUGCUGGAGAGAACGUUACUGGCAAUCCAUUUUGCAGAUCCAGUCAUGUUAUUGAACUGUACUUUCUCCUUUCACUUUUGCCAAAAUUCCCUAUUUUAAAAAUUAAGCUUGACUGAUUUGCAUUUCUUGACAAGAAACACUUCAGGACCUAUGCUGCUAUGAUUUUGUAGAUACCAAAGGUAUAUUUAUGAGAUGCUCUCAUACAUUCUAGAUGAGAACUUACCUAAAUACAGUAGUAACAGCAUUAAUAGAAACUGGCUUCUGGUGUAUUUAAUUAGGAGUGCUUGAAAGAAGGCUAGGGCUCUUAUUUCUCUAUUACAAAUGGGGAAACUGAGACACUGUCAGGUGUUUGUCGUGGUAUAACUUCAUUAGCAAAACUAGAAAAGCACAGUCACAUCCUUAAGUCCAUUCCAAGAGUACAUGCUGUAAGCCAUACUAUUCUUCCUGUCAACUUUGCAGACUUGUCUAUAAAUUAUUCAUGCCAGACAUUUAAUUGCUGCAGUUUGGGUUCCUUGCAACACCCAGCAUUUCUUGCACUCUUCCACUUUUACCACCACAGGUUUCCUGCAGUCCAAUCUCUUGAUACUCAAGAUGUUCCUUUCUGUAAGAUUUACUGUACUUGACUCCUGCUAAUUUCUCCAGGAUGGGUUAGAUAUGCUUGCCUCCCAGCCAGACCCCUGCCUUUUAGCUCUUCCUGCUUUCUGACAUUCAUCAAAAGCAUCAUAGUCUUGUCAGUUAAUUCUAUAAGUACUUUUUUCAUGUUCUUUUAGCUUGCCUUUUGCAAUAAUUGAAAGAUGUCACAUACAAACUUCACAGCAGUUGUCUUUGUAAGACUUUACUUCAUCAAGACAUUUAAUUCUGUUUCCUGAAGAACCAAGUGAAUGCAAAUUACACUGCAGUGAAUGUGUUUAUGAGGUUAAAAAUAGCACAGUUGUGUACUGUUCUGUCCAGAGAGGACGGUCAAUGUUUGUGUACCUCCACUAGUGGCACUGGUCAGCACACAACUCAGAAGUUGUAAGGUUCAAAGUCCAAGAAUGAGGAUACAGUAAAAUUAUUAAUGCAAGAGAGAAGUUAUGCAAAGCUGGGUGCAGUGGGGUGUAAUUCAUUUAAAUAUCUUGUCCUCAUGUGGUGGAAAGGCUUUGCUGGGUCGUAUAUGUAGGUUGUUCUGAAAGUAAUGCCUCCUAUUUAUUUCCACAGAAACUACAACAGAUGCAAAGAGCACAAUAAGACUAUUCGAUAGAGCGAAUUCUGAGCUACAAAGCACUAUUUUUCCAACAUAGUUACCACCAUCAGCUAUGCAUUUUCACCAGUCUUGAUGAUUUGUCUGGGUUGCAGGAAAUCCAGAAGGUUCACCCCUUUUCUGUCCCAAGACACUUUUCUUGCUGAAGGCUGCAUCCCGAACUUUUUCCUUUGAUGAGGAAUUCACAUCACCACUCCAUGGACUGCUGUUUUGACUCUGGCUUGUAGUGGUGACACCAUGUCUCAUCAUUGGUAAUGAUGUGAUCCAGGGAACUGUCAUCUUUAGCCUCGUAUUGGUUCAAUAGAUCCUGACAAACUUGCAUAAGCUAUUCUUUCUUUUCCUUUGUGAGCAUUUGUUGGACCCAGCUGGUGGAAACUUUGCAAUAUUCCAAAGGUGCCAACAUAGUUUCCUAUUCAACAAAGCCAGUAUUCAUCUCUAUACACACUUCCCUGAUUGUAAUCCCUGAUUUGUGUGGAUGAACUGAUAGAGAUGGUCUUCAUUUCAUGGUGUGACAGCUGUUCAUGGCUGUCCAGAACAUGGAUUGUCUUUCAUGUUGUUGUCGCCACUGCUGAAAUGUACCACCCACAACCCCACUUUCCUAACACCCACUGUUUGGUUGCCAUAAAUGAUGAGCAAGUGUCAAUGAAUGUCAAUAGGUGCAAUUAUUCCUAAUGGAGAAAUUCAAUUACAACCUUCUUUGUCAGCUGUCAUUUUGUCGGACUGCCCCUCUAAUGGAAUGUUGGUGGGAAGAUUCAACCUCUGUUGCCAUACCUCCAAAAUUCACUUCUGACUUUGUGGGCCAACAUAAUAAAAUAGGGGGUAUUACUUUUGGAGCCUUCAUACAUAAACUGGGAGUAGAAAAAAAAGUUCCCAUUUACUCAGUAUAUAAGUGCAUAAAAAAUUCAAAUAAAUAAUAGUUCUCUAAUUACCUGCCUACAUGCAUUUUUUUGCUGGCAGAAAGAAUAUUCUAAUACUCUUUUUUGCCAUUUGAAGUACAAGUCAUCUUCAACCCAAAAAAGUGUGGUCCUGUCUAACAUGGCUCCCACUCAAUUCAGUAAGGCUAAACUGUGGCUUGAAGCUGGUCUACUAUUGUCCAGUAAUCUUCUCAGUUCAGAAUGCUGUGUGUAUUCAUACAUACCUACUGGCUUGGGUUAGCCAGACAAUAUAGACUGUCCCCAGUAUGUGACAUGCCAAUACCGGAUUAACAAAUGAAAGCUGAAAUAAUUUUAGGUACCAUUUUGAACACGAAACUGCACAUUCCAAAAUUGUACUUGUGUUUUUAAAUAAAAUUAUUUUUAAAGAUUAUUUCUAAAAUAUUUGCAAGCCACAGAUUCUAUAUUCAAGGACACAAGGAAAAUGACACAGAAAAGUAUUAUUUCAUACAUUUUUUUAAUCUGAUAUUUAUAUUAAUUGGAACAUUUCACAAGAAAUAAAUCUAUUUUUGCAUAAGGGAAUUCUGGUAUUAAUUUGAGCUAUUCCUAUCAACACUGUGUUCUGUUUACAGAAAAUACUUUUACAGUUUUGGUUCUCAGUCUGGUACCUCUUAAAUGUUACACGCACUACCUAAAUGCAAAUAAAGCUACAGGUUCUGUAUAACUAGAUAGUAAUAGUUUUCCAGUAAAUUUCAACAAAAUCUCAGUAUUUGAUGUCACUGAAAUGCCAUUUUGAUAUCCUCUAAUUCCAUUUCUCUUUGGUACUUAUUAAAUAAAAAAAACCACACAUGUAUGUCCCUUCCUAUAGAUCCUUUUGAAAUUAGUAAGUUCUAUAGAGAAACUAUUAAGUCAGAGCUGUGUUAAGCAAAUCUAAUUAGGCAAAUAUAAUUUGGUUUCCUCUAAUGAAGCUGUAACACAGUAUAUAUUAGAAGGCAGUAUAUGAAUGAUUUUGGUUUUGCUGGUUUUGAUUACCAGUAAUUUAACUUGAGUUCAAGUAUGUUUGAACUUUCAAAUAGCAAGGAAAAGGCCAACAUUUAGAAAGGAAGCUGUGGCUGUUUCAGUGCCCAAGUCCUGCAUACUCAUAUAAAGAAAAAAUAGAAUGUUUUCAAAAUUGAAGUGGGAAAACAAUUUCUGUUAAAGGAAAGUAUGGAAUUCACAAUGACCUAGAAAAAAUUAAUUUUCCCACCUUUUAUACACAGAAACACUCUUGUUCAUUUGUGUGAACCACUGGAGAAAGACAGACUAAAUUUCAGAAGUCAAUCACUAAAAUAUUUAAAGACAAUCCAUAAGUAAUCUCUCUGUUGUUACAUUAUAGGUUAUAAAGAAAGGUGAAAGACAACGUUUUUGAAAAAUGUGCAGAAACAUGAUGAUUUUUCUGCUGCUUAUUUAAGCAACCUGUGAAGGCUGUUACUGUAAAAUCAUAUGUUCUAAGAUGUAAAAAUUCUGGUAGAAGAAAAUAACCACACCACCUUAACUAAUAUUAAAAAUAAUGCUAAUCCACUAACACAGAUUUAGUGUCUGUAAUUUCAAAAUUACCAUAUAUUUUGCACUUUUUAAUUCAUCUAACUUUAGUAAAAGAUUCUGAUGUUUGGUAGAUUAUUUCAAAUGUGUGAAUAGUUUUGAAAAUAAAAGCAGGAGUUCAUUCAAACUAUAUUAACUUUCUGAACCUGAUUAUUUUUGGCUGCUCAAUCAUAAUAGAUAUCUAUCUAACUAUUAUGUCUGCCAAUAUGUAUAUAAAGACCUAACCAAAAAGAAAACCUGUGCUAGCUCUUAGUGACUGUGAAGUCACAAAGAUAAUUUCAUUAGUGAUAUUUUGAAGAGAAACUGAAAAAGUGUGCAACAAACAUGAGGUCAGGUUGGGAACACUGUCAUGAACUUGGCUUAGGCAUUUUGUUUGUGUAUAGACCAAACAAUUCCUACAGCUUGACAGAAAGGUUUCCUGUCCUCAGAACAAGAAGAAAAAAAAUCUAGAAAUAUUUUUGCGGUAUGUUUCAAGACCAUAUUUUAAUUGGCAUAGAAGGAAUAAUUAAAAUAGUAUUGAUUUGGCUUUGUUGUUACCACCUCACUACCAUCU